UGAACUCCGACCAAAUGAUGAUGGAGUGGGUAGAAGAAUCCAAAAGCGGCAGGAAGUCUUCUCCCUCGCUACGGAAUUCGUUCUUCUCUUCUCCCUUCCCCUCGAGGCAUGAAUGCAACCCGGUGUGACAUCCAGGUGGGGCCUCUUGUUAUGUGGAUGAUGACCUCUACUACUUACCCCUGGUUUCUGACACCUAAAAAGUUGCCAAGUUUGAACUCAAGAGGUAGAGAUUCAAACAAUUGGAGCCAUUUACUGCAUUCUGCCAUAAUAACUGCAGAAAACGUAUGUUGCAGUACUUCUGCACUUCCCUCUGCCAUAAAUAAGUAAAGAAAAUAUAUGUCAGCAGCAUUAAUAUCACCACAUGAUCAUUGAUCCUCUCCUGUACUAGUGGUCCACCAGAUCCAUGCAAGAUGUGCCAUAGAUUUACUGCACCAUAGAGAGAAAAUUGAACUCAUGAACACCAGUAGCUAGAUGUUCAUUAAAGUAGUGCUGAACUGUGUUCGGUGACUGCCCAUCAAGACCUACAAGCCAAAUCCCUAGCAAGAGGCAUCGAUGUACCUCUCUGGAGACCCACAUCCCGGAUAUGAGCAGAGAGUUGGCCAACCUGUCUUGUUCUUCUAUUGGUCUUCCGAGGGUCUGCUGCUUGAAGAAAAGACCCAUCUCCAGUCCUUUCUGCGUACUCUGUUGAUAAAAAAGUAUUAAGAGUCAAUUUCCGCUUUGACGGCUGUACAUUAUUCCUUGGAUCCACAAAGGUUUCACACAUUGGAGUCUUCGUAACGUGGAAAGACAGCAGAAAUUUCCUAGUGAACGAAAGCUACUUGUUUUCUCCUGCUUACAUCGAGCAUUGUAGCAGGAACUCUAAUGUGAUUGGCUUACCUACGAACCUUUUCACUUCUUUUAUCAGCUUAUUAAUACCUCAUCACCUCUAAUGAAUUCUGGGCUACAGAUUGGACAUUAGAAAAUUAUAUCUGAGCUGAUUCUGAGAUAUUUAAAUUCA